rnacentral:tRNA from 2 species
GGGACUGUAGCUCAGUGGUAGAGCGCGCGACUCAUAAUCGCUUGGUCGUAGGUUCGAACCCUACCAGUCCCACCA